rnacentral:rRNA from 1 species
UACGUAGGGUGCAGGCGUUAAUCGGAAUUACUGGGCGUAAAGGGCGCGUAGGCGGCCAUCUAAGUCAGACGUGAAAUCCCCCGGCUUAACCUGGGAACUGCGUCUGAUACUGGAAGGCUUGAGUAUGGGAGAGGGAUGUAGAAUUCCAGGUGUAGCGGUGAAAUGCGUAGAUAUCUGGAGGAAUACCGGUGGCGAAGGCGGCAUCCUGGACCAUUACUGACGCUGAGGCGCGAAAGCUAGGGGAGCAAACGGG